GAUGAACGCUAGCGGCAGGCUUAAUACAUGCAAGUCGAGGGACAGCACAGGUAGCAAUACUGGGUGGUAACCGGCAAACGGGUGCGGAACACGUACACAACCUUCCUUUAAGUGGGGGAUAGCCCAGAGAAAUUUGGAUUAAUACCCCGUAAUAUAGUUGAAUGGCAUCAUUUGAUUAUUAUAGCUACGGCGCUUAAUGAUGGGUGUGCGGCUGAUUAGAUAGUUGGCGGGGUAACGGCCCACAAAGUCUACGAUCAGUAGCUGAUGUGAGAGCAGAGUCAGCCACACGGGCACUGAGACACGGGCCCGACUCCUACGGGAGGCAGCAGUAAGGAAUAUUGGUCAAUGGACGCAAGUCUGAACCAGCCAUGCCGCGUGAAGGAUUAAGGUCCUCUGGAUUGUAAACUUCUUUUAUUUGGGACGAAAAAGGGCCUUUCUAGGUCAACUGACGGUACCAGAUGAAUAAGCACCGGCUAACUCCGUGCCAGCAGCCGCCGCAG
rnacentral:rRNA from 1 species